CAUGGAACUAAGUUAGAGGUCCACAGAAAGAGGGCAGAGUUGAGGACUAAACUCUGUUUAUUGUAUCAUGUGCUUGUCUGAGCAAGAGUACUGGCAGAACAGGCAAUUGUGGAAGGGCCAAGACAGCAACACCCUUCAGAUGUCACCGCACGGCAGUUCAGAGAUAAACAUAUUGAGAAUAUGCAAAACCUAAGGAAACAGAAGAGGAAACUUAGUAAACGGUUUACAAGACCUGCUCCUAUUCCAGAACCAGGACUCCUAUGGUCAUAAAGCUGGAAUCUGUACAGAAGAAAUCAUGCCAGACCAUAACAUGCAGAUUUAUAACAUCAAGUGGCAUCUCAUAAUUUGACUUCAUUUGAAAAAUAAAGGCAAUACUCUGUCAUUUCAGCAAAAUAAAUGCAGUGCAACCAUGUAACAUCCAAACCACAGGGUCUAGAAUUUUAUUAAAUCCCAUAAUUCAUUAUCACCAUUUUUUUUCCUGUGGUAAAUUUGGGAUUUUCUGCUUUUUCAACGAAAAAUAAAAUAUACAGGUCCUUAAAAAUUAUAUACUCCUGUUUAAAUUUUUGCAUGGAAAUAUAUCACCUAUCUAAAGAUUUAGAAUUAUGCUUUAACAAAGGGGGAAAAGAUAUUUUCCCUGCUGUAUAUUUAUAACGACUUUUGUUUAAAUAAAAUGUUUAAAAUCUUUA